rnacentral:rRNA from 1 species
AAUGGGCGCAGCCUGAUCCAGCCAUGCCGCGUGGGUGAGAAGGCCUUCGGGUUGUAAAGCCCUUUUGUUGGGAAAGAAAUCCAGCUGGCUAAUACCCGGUUGGGAUGACGGUACCCAAAGAAUAAGCACCGGCUAACUUCAUGCCAGCAGCCGCGAUAA